AGCGAACGCUGGCGGCAGGCUUAACACAUGCAAGUCGAGCGGGCAUCCUUGUGGUGUCAGCGGCAGACGGGUGAGUAACGCGUGGGAACGUGCCCUUCGGUUCGGAAUAACUCAGGGAAACUUGAGCUAAUACCGGAUACGUGCGAGAGCAGAAAGGUUUAUCUGCCGAAGGAUCGGCCCGCGUCUGAUUAGCUAGUUGGUGAGGUUACGGCUCACCAAGGCGACGAUCAGUAGCUGGUCUGAGAGGAUGAUCAGCCACACUGGGACUGAGACACGGCCCAGACUCCGACGGGAGGCAGCAGUGGGGAAUAUUGGACAAUGGGGGCAACCCCGAUCCAGCCAUGCCGCGUGAGUGAUGACGGCCUUAGGGUUGUAAAGCUCUUUUCUCCGGGACGAUAAUGACGGUACCGGAGGAAUAAGCCCCGGCUAACUUCGU
rnacentral:rRNA from 1 species